UGCGUAGGCGGCGUCGUAAGUCAGAAAUGAAAGCUCACAGCUUAACUGUGAAAUUGCUUUUGAUACUGCGGUGCUUGAAUUAGGUUGAGGUUAGCGGAAUGUGACAUGUAGCGGUGAAAUGCAUAGAUAUGUCAUAGAACACCAAUUGCGAAGGCAGCUGGCUAGGCCUAUAUUGACGCUCAGGCACGAAAGCGUGGGGAGCGAACAGGAUUAGAUACCCUGGUAGUCC
rnacentral:rRNA from 1 species